UACGGAGGGUGCAAGCGUUACCCGGAAUCACUGGGCGUAAAGGGCGUGUAGGCGGAUCAGUAAGUCUGGUUUUAAAGACUGCGGCUCAACCGCAGGGAUGGACUGGAUACUGUUGAUCUUGACCUCUGGAGAGGAAACCGGAAUUCCUGGUGUAGCGGUGGAAUGCGUAGAUACCAGGAGGAACACCAAUGGCGAAGGCAGGUUUCUGGACAGAAGGUGACGCUGAGGCG
rnacentral:rRNA from 1 species